rnacentral:rRNA from 1 species
AGUGGAUCCUGAGUACGGCGGAACACGUGAAAUUCCGUCGGAAUCCGGGAGGACCAUCUCCCAAGGCUAAAUACUCCCUAGUGACCGAUAGUGAACCAGUACCGUGAGGGAAAGGUGAAAAGCACCCCGGAAGGGGAGUGAAACAGUUCCUGAAACCGUGUGCCUACAAGUAGUUAGAGCCCGUUAAUGGGUGAUAGCGUGCCUUUUGUAGAAUGAACCGGCGAGUUACGAUUUGUUGCAAGGUUAAGCGGAAAAAGCGGAGCCGUAGCGAAAGCGAGUCUGAAUAGGGCGCAUAAGUAACAGGUCGUAGACCCGAAACCAGGUGAUCUACCCAUGUCCAGGAUGAAGGUAAGGUAAUACUUACUGGAGGUCCGAACCCACGCACGUUGAAAAGUGCGGGGAUGAGGUGUGGGUAGCGGAGAAAUUCCAAUCGAACUUGGAGAUAGCUGGUUCUCUCCGAAAUAGCUUUAGGGCUAGCCUCGAGGUAAAGAGUCAUGGAGGUAGAGCACUGUUUGGACUAGGGGCCCUUCUCGGGUUACCGAAUUCAGAUAAACUCCGAAUGCCAUGUACUUAUACUCGGGAGUCAGACUGCGAGUGAUAAGAUCCGUAGUCGAAAGGGAAACAGCCCAGACCACCAGUUAAGGUCCCCAAAUAUA